AGAGUUUGAUCCUGGCUCAGGAUGAACGCUGGCGGCGUGCUUAACACAUGCAAGUCGAACGAACCUUCGGGUUAGUGGCGGACGGGUGAGUAACGCGUGAGAAUCUGCCCUCAGGAGGGGGAUAACGGUUGGAAACGACCGCUAAUACCCCAUAUGCCGAGAGGUGAAAUGAAUUUCGCCUGAGGAUGAGCUCGCGUCUGAUUAGUUAGUUGGUGGGGUAAUGGCCUACCAAGACGUCGAUCAGUAGCUGGUCUGAGAGGAUGAUCAGCCACACUGGGACUGAGACACGGCCCAGACUCCUACGGGAGGCAGCAGUGGGGAAUUUUCCGCAAUGGGCGAAAGCCUGACGGAGCAACGCCGCGUGAGGGAUGAAGGCCUCUGGGCUGUAAACCUCUUUUAUCAAGGAAGAAGAUCUGACGGUACUUGAUGAAUAAGCCACGGCUAAUUCCGUGCCAGCAGCCGCGGUAAUACGGGAGUGGCAAGCGUUAUCCGGAAUUAUUGGGCGUAAAGCGUCCGCAGGCGGCCCUUCAAGUCUGCUGUUAAAAAGUGGAGCUUAACUCCAUCAUGGCAGUGGAAACUGUUGGGCUUGAGUGUGGUAGGGGCAGAGGGAAUUCCCGGUGUAGCGGUGAAAUGCGUAGAUAUCGGGAAGAACACCAGUGGCGAAGGCGCUCUGCUGGGCCAUCACUGACGCUCAUGGACGAAAGCCAGGGGAGCGAAAGGGAUUAGAUACCCCUGUAGUCCUGGCCGUAAACGAUGAACACUAGGUGUCGGGGGAAUCGACCCCCUCGGUGUCGUAGCCAACGCGUUAAGUGUUCCGCCUGGGGAGUACGCACGCAAGUGUGAAACUCAAAGGAAUUGACGGGGGCCCGCACAAGCGGUGGAGUAUGUGGUUUAAUUCGAUGCAACGCGAAGAACCUUACCAGGGUUUGACAUCCUGCGAAUCUCUUGGAAACGAGAGAGUGCCUUCGGGAACGCAGUGACAGGUGGUGCAUGGCUGUCGUCAGCUCGUGUCGUGAGAUGUUGGGUUAAGUCCCGCAACGAGCGCAACCCACGUCUUUAGUUGCCAGCAUUUAGUUGGGCACUCUAGAGAGACUGCCGGUGAUAAACCGGAGGAAGGUGUGGAUGACGUCAAGUCAUCAUGCCCCUUACAUCCUGGGCUACACACGUACUACAAUGCUACGGACAAAGGGCAGCAAGUUCGCGAGGACAAGCAAAUCCCAUAAACCGUGGCUCAGUUCAGAUCGUAGGCUGCAACUCGCCUACGCGAAGGCGGAAUCGCUAGUAAUCGCAGGUCAGCAUACUGCGGUGAAUACGUUCCCGGGCCUUGUACACACCGCCCGUCACACCAUGGAAGUUGGCCACGCCCGAAGCCGUUACUCCAACCCUUGUGGAGGAGGACGUCGAAGGUGGGGCUGAUGACUGGGGUGAAGUCGUAACAAGGUAACC
rnacentral:rRNA from 1 species